GACGAACGCUGGCGGCGUGCCUAAUACAUGCAAGUCGAACGGAGUGGCGAACGGGUGAGUAACACGUGAGUAACCUGCCCUUGUCUUUGGGGUAACUUCAGGAAACUGGGGCUAAUACCGGAUAGUUGGGGAUGGACUCGCGGCUUAUCAGCUUGUUGGUGGGGGAGUGGCUUACCAAGGCUUUGACGGGUAGCCGGACUGAGAGGGUUACCGGCCACAUUGGGACUGAGCUACGGCCCAGACUCCGACGGGAGGCAGCAGUGGGGAAUAGUGCACAAUGGGCGGAAGCCUGAGGCAGCAACGCCGCGUGCGGGAUGACGGCCUGCGGGUUGUAAACCGCUUUCGCCGGUGACGCGGUAAUGGGUAAAGAAGCACCGGCUAACUACGGGCCAGCCGCCGCGGUAAUAC
rnacentral:rRNA from 1 species